rnacentral:rRNA from 1 species
GAUGAACGCUAGCGGCAGGCCUAAUACAUGCAAGUCGAACGAUAGUGUUGUAGCAAUAUGACACGAAAGUGGCGCACGGGUGCGUAACACGUAUGCAAUCUACCUUUAAUUGGAGGAUAGCCUCGAGAAAUCGGGAUUAAUACUCCAUAACAUAAUUGAAUGGCAUCAUUUGAUCAUCAAACCUCCGGGGAUUAGAGAUGAGCAUGCGCAACAUUAGCUAGUUGGUAAGGUAAUGGCUUACCAAGGCUACGAUGUUUAGGGGGUCUGAGAGGAUGAUCCCCCAC